UGAAGAACGAUUUGGCAUUUAAAUACAUGAUCAUACAAAUGACACAAUGUUCAUCAAACAACAAAGUAUUAGCAAACGAAAGUAACGAAAAAGUGUUUAGAUGGCUGUGUCCAAACUACGAUGUUCACGAAAUGUACAUUUAAGUGAAAAAUAACAACAAAAAACAGACCCAUACAGUGCGUGAUGUAAAAACGAUGACAUAAUUUUGAAAUGGUAUUUAACCAAAAAAAUGGAAAGGAUUCUUCAAAAGAACAUUUGACGGACAAAUAUUUAGAGAAAUUAAUAUAUUUAGCAAAUCCUCGACAAGAAGAAGUGUCAAAUUUAUCUCGACGUCCUGAAAUUUGGUCAUUUAGCAAUAACAACCUCUUAUUAAUAAUAGAUUACCUUAAAAGCUUUAUAACGGGUACAGUGUCAUCUGUUUUACUUGUUAGCGCACAAAAAUAAAGCUUACAAAGAGAAAAAUAUUUUUCGAGUCAACAAUAGCUAAAUUUGGUGGGAAGUCUAUCAUUGAUAGCAAAAGAAAUAUUGAGAUAAGUAAUUGAAAUGAAGACAAUUUUUCACCAUGAUAAAAAAACAAAGUUGCUUGAAACCAGUUGACAGUCAAAUAGCGGGCCAAGCAGCAGUGAAAUCAUUACCAUGUAUUGAAGAACUUAAAGAAAAAUACAAGACCAACUACAAAAUAAGUAGUUUCUCAAAGAACAAUACGAGGAGACAAUCCAUGAACAAGAGUGUAAUCAGACAAUUAAGGGGCAGAAACUGGAGAGAAAUUUGUCACGAUUCUUUGAUCACACUUCCUCAACAGAAAGGAUUUCGUGACUUUCUAAUGAAGGCAGUGGAAGACAGGCAACUUCCAGGAAGACUUAAUACAUCUCGAAAUCAGUUGGCUCAACUUGGACAUCAAGCCCGCGUUAAAAAUUUCGUCGUAUUGCAUCAAAUGUGCAAAAGAAAGUGGAAGUAGUUGGUGCCAUAAAAGAAAUUGUACAGGAAAAUGAUCUUAAUAUUGAGAUGCCUGAAAAACCUCUUUUUUGCACGACAUUAUCUGCUGAAGCACAAUAUGCUAUGUUUAAAGGUUACGAAGACAUACUGUUCGAUAAAAUUACGUCUUUGAGGACUAAUAAUGAGAAAUUUUGGCCACUAAAACGAACACAGAGUCCAAAAGUGAAACCAACUGUUUCAUUAUUUGCCAUGUCGCCCUUAAAAAAUCAGCAAAAUAAUUCACUUAAAAAUUCUAAUUCAGUAGUAAUCACAACAAGCUACGACAAUAAAGAAAUAACAAAUCCAGAUGUUAAAAGAAAGACGCUUCAACGAUACAUGAGCGUACAUUUUAAACAUGCCAUGAAUAUUUUAGAUGAAGUAAAAAAACACGAAACUAAUCAUUCGUUUUCGACACAAAAAUUGGAAAAUAUAAUUACACAGAAGAAGUUAUGCAAACAGUUCAGUAGAUGGAGUGAAAGUUUAACAAAACAGUUUGAAUUCGUCGAAAAACAAACAAGCAAAUGAUGAACAUCGGCCUCGGUAGAACCAAGUCAGUACGAUCACCAACACAUCGAAACAAGAUGGCCGUAUCAACAGUGUGACUGCAUAUAUUAACCAGGUAGCUUUCUUCCAUGCCCAAUGUAACUUUCUUAUUUACUUGUUACUUGUAUCAUGAGUAAAGCUUCAUGGAAAAUAACGAUUACCUGUUUUCUUCUCUCAUUUCAUGUUGAAAUAAAUUGAGCCCAUUAGUAUUUAAACACUUCAUUACAUGUUAUAAAGUACACGGUAAGAGUACAAUUUAACGAGCCCCUUUUUCAUAACCUAAUGCAAUGAUAUUGCAGUUCGUUUGAUUCGGAUUUUGUAGAUAGGAAUAUUAAAAUUUUACACUUUGCGUUAAAAA